rnacentral:lncRNA from 1 species
GGAAGGGUCUAACGUGGCAAAUUGAAAUUUCAUCCUGGGUAGGGACAAGCAGUGCAUAUUUUUGUUCAUAACUGAAGAUUCCUCUUCCAUGCAAAAUUUUUAUCUGGCUGCCACUUUAGUGCCAGUUUCCGGUAUGCUUUCUUGAUGUCCUCGGGGAGGCAUGUCUCUGCACGCCUAGAACUUCAUAGUAAUCCACCAUGUUUUAACAGUUUCCUGGAACAAGUCCAAGGAUGCAGACGACCGGCGGCGCAAAGAAGAGAGGUAUGAAGAAUGGAUCAGAGAAUCUCAGCAAUGGAAGCAAGGAAAACUCAAAAUAGCCAAAGAAAAUUACCUAGAUACUCUAUUACCCCCCA